GAGUUUGAUCCUGGCUCAGAUUGAACGCUGGCGGCAGGCCUAACACAUGCAAGUCGAGCGGAAACGAGUUAACUGAACCUUCGGGGAACGUUAACGGCGUCGAGCGGCGGACGGGUGAGUAAUGCCUGGGAAAUUGCCCUGAUGUGGGGGAUAACCAUUGGAAACGAUGGCUAAUACCGCAUAAUAGCUUCGGCUCAAAGAGGGGGACCUUCGGGCCUCUCGCGUCAGGAUAUGCCCAGGUGGGAUUAGCUAGUUGGUGAGGUAAUGGCUCACCAAGGCGACGAUCCCUAGCUGGUCUGAGAGGAUGAUCAGCCACACUGGAACUGAGACACGGUCCAGACUCCUACGGGAGGCAGCAGUGGGGAAUAUUGCACAAUGGGCGCAAGCCUGAUGCAGCCAUGCCGCGUGUAUGAAGAAGGCCUUCGGGUUGUAAAGUACUUUCAGCAGUGAGGAAGGUGGGUAUGUUAAUAGCAUACUCAUUUGACGUUAGCUGCAGAAGAAGCACCGGCUAACUCCGUGCCAGCAGCCGCGGUAAUACGGAGGGUGCGAGCGUUAAUCGGAAUUACUGGGCGUAAAGCGCAUGCAGGUGGUUUGUUAAGUCAGAUGUGAAAGCCCGGGGCUCAACCUCGGAAUUGCAUUUGAAACUGGCAAACUAGAGUACUGUAGAGGGGGGUAGAAUUUCAGGUGUAGCGGUGAAAUGCGUAGAGAUCUGAAGGAAUACCGGUGGCGAAGGCGGCCCCCUGGACAGAUACUGACACUCAGAUGCGAAAGCGUGGGGAGCAAACAGGAUUAGAUACCCUGGUAGUCCACGCCGUAAACGAUGUCUACUUGGAGGUUGUGGCCUUGAGCCGUGGCUUUCGGAGCUAACGCGUUAAGUAGACCGCCUGGGGGAGUACGGUCGCAAGAUUAAAAACUCAAAAUGAAUUGGACGGGGGGCCCGCAACAAGCGGGUGGAGCAUGGUGGGUUUAAUUCGAUGCAACGGCGAAAGAACCUUUACCUUAACUCCUUGACAUCUACA
rnacentral:rRNA from 1 species